UCCGGCUUAUCACCGGCGGUUUCUUUAGAGUGCCCAACUAAAUGAUGGCAACUAAAGACGAGGGUUGCGCUCGUUGCGGGACUUAACCCAACAUCUCACGACACGAGCUGACGACGGCCAUGCAGCACCUGUCUCCGGUCCAGCCGAACUGAAGGGAUCCAUCUCUGGUUCCCGCGACCGGGAUGUCAAGGGCUGGUAAGGUUCUGCGCGUUGCUUCGAAUUGAACCACAUGCUCCACCGCUUGUGCGGGCCCCCGUCAAUUUCUUUGAGUUUUAACCUUGCGGCCGUACUCCCCAGGCGGAUAACUUAAUGCGUUAGCUGCGCCACCGAAAGUCCAUGACCCCCGACAACUAGUUAUCAUCGUUUACGGCGUGGACUAC
rnacentral:misc_RNA from 1 species